GUACACUAUGUAACUUUUUAUGUUCAAAAUUAACACUUUAAAUGUCCACAUCAGUCCUUCUUCCAAAACGUGUUUUUGUCUUUGAUUAACUAUGGUAAGCCUAUUAUAAGUGUUUAUAUUUUAGACCGAGCAGGAUGGUUUUCGCGGGAAAUCGCAUACACACGCUCACCUAUGUGUGUUUUGUCAUAUCCGUAAAUAGAGAAAAGUUGCUCUGGCUACUUUGACGCGUGUAUGGUGUAGGAGCGACUUUUGUUGUCACAAUGUUGCAGAAAGGUUGACAUGGAGCAUGCUAAAUCUCGAACCUCUUCGUGUAUAAGCCUAGUAGUGAAUGCUUUAUGAGCAGUAGGAUAAUCUAUCUCUUUUUUAUUUAUGAGAAAGAACCAUAUUCAACUGCACAUUCAUGCAGAGGCAAAGCACAACCAAACAUAUGUUCUUCCGCAAAAUCCAGGUUUUUUUUAACCACUAGAGGGCCAAAAGUUAAAUCGUGUACCUUUUAAUAAUUGUUCAAAUUUAAUCAUUUUCAUGUUGUACAGUUACCUUGAUGCAUUAGCAUCAGUUUCACACUUAAUUGUUUGUUGCAAAUGACCUCAAAGCUGCCUGUAAGCACAGAGCUGUAUGGAUGAAAAACACAUUAAAUGCAGGAAUAUUCAAAUAAACCGUGACAAAAGCAAUUAGUAAGGUUUGUAACACGAGAAAAGUAAACAUGAAAAUAUACAAAUGAUAACAUGAAAAAGGUGAUAACAGACAGUAUUUCUAGAUGACAGAAUACAGAUGAUUUUGAUAGUGGUAACACGGUUAGUAAGAGGUAAGAGUAAGAGGAAAAGAAUAUCAAAAUGAGAAAACAUACUGAUUUAAAUUGGUCUAGAAUAUUAUGAAGACUUACAAUAUGAAAUAUUUUGUCUAAACUGUCUACCAAGUAUGAUUUCAUUAAAAACAAAAAAGGACCUUUUAAUAAUCAUGCUGUUCAUAUAAUACAGUAAAGGUAUUCAGGUGUCUGCAUAAAAGCAUGCUAGAUUUAUGAAUUGUAGCUUUCAGAAAGCACAGCUUAAACCUAUUGAGAAAGCUGAAAA